rnacentral:rRNA from 1 species
GAAGCAUGAUCGUAAGGACAUGUGGAGCGCUUAGAAGUGAGAAUGCCGGUGUGAGUAGCGAAAGACGGGUGAGAAUCCCGUCCACCGAUUGACUAAGGUUUCCAGAGGAAGGCUCGUCCGCUCUGGGUUAGUCGGGUCCUAAGCUGAGGCCGACAGGCGUAGGCGAUGGAUAACAGGUUGAUAUUCCUGUACCACCUAUAAUCGUUUUAAUCGAUGGGGGGACGCAGUAGGAUAGGCGAAGCGUGCGAUUGGAUUGCACGUCUAAGCAGUAAGGCUGAGUAUUAGGCAAAUCCGGUACUCGUUAAGGCUGAGCUGUGAUGGGGAGAAGACAUUGUGUCUUCGAGUCGUUGAUUUCACACUGCCGAGAAAAGCCUCUAGAUAGAAAAUAGGUGCCCGUACCGCAAACCGACACAGGUAGUCAAGAUGAGAAUUCUAAGGUGAGCGAGCGAACUCUCGUUAAGGAACUCGGCAAAAUGACCCCGUAACUUCGGGAGAAGGGGUGCUCUUUAGGGUUAACGCCCAGAAGAGCCGCAGUGAAUAGGCCCAAGCGACUGUUUAUCAAAAACACAGGUCUCUGCUAAACCGUAAGGUGAUGUAUAGGGGCUGACGCCUGCCCGGUGCUGGAAGGUUAAGAGGAGUGGUUAGCUUCUGCGAAGCUACGAAUCGAAGCCCCAGUAAACGGCGGCCGUAACUAUAACGGUCCUAAGGUAGCGAAAUUCCUUGUCGGGUAAGUUCCGACCCGCACGAAAGGCGUAACGAUUUGGGCACUGUCUCAACGAGAGACUCGGUGAAAUCAUAGUACCUGUGAAGAUGCAGGUUACCCGCGACAGGACGGAAAGACCCCGUGGAGCUUUACUGUAGCCUGAUAUUGAAAUUCGGCACAGCUUGUACAGGAUAGGUAGGAGCCUUUGAAACGUGAGCGCUAGCUUACGUGGAGGCGCUGGUGGGAUACUACCCUAGCUGUGUUGGCUUUCUAACCCGCACCACUUAUCGUGGUGGGAGACAGUGUCAGGCGGGCAGUUUGACUGGGGCGGUCGCCUCCUAAAAGG